UAAUGAGUGUUUAUGGCACUUUUAAAAAUCCAUACCCACCUUGUGUGCAUCGUUAGUCAUGUUCCUCGUUCUCUCUUGAGAGGGCGAGGAGGCAGACUUCAAAUUAAUCUAUCUUUAACCAGUUUGUCUGAAGCUGUUAGAGAAUGACUAAUUCUUAAACA
rnacentral:misc_RNA from 1 species